AUUGAACGCUGGCGGCAGGCCUAACACAUGCAAGUCGAGCGAGCGGCGGACGGGUGAGUAAUGUAUGGGGACUGCCCGAUAGAGGGGGAUAACUACUGGAAACGGUGGCUAAUACCACCUCCUCCCGGUUAACCCAUAUGGGAUUAGCGAGUAGGUGGGGUAAAGGCUCACCUAGGCGACGAUCUCUCGCUGGUCUGAGAGGCUGAUCAGCCACACUGGGACUGAGACACGGCCCAGACGCCUACGGAGGCAGCAGUGGGGAAUAUUGAACAAUGGGCGCAAGCCUGAUGCAGCCAUGCCGCGUGUAUGAAGAAGGCCGUAGGGUUGUAAAGUACUUUCAGCGGGGAGGCGUUACCCGCAGAAGAAGCACCGGCUAACUCCGUGCCAGCAGCCGCGGGAAUUC
rnacentral:rRNA from 1 species